AUUUCUAUGACCAUAAUAAAAAUAAAAUAGUUUAAAAUCAUAAUUAGACAUCUAUAAACUAGAAAAAAAUGAAUAUCUGUGAUUCCAACGAAGUAGCAUCCUUGACAAGAAAUACUAUUUGGUACCGACUUGAUCAAAAUCACUCCAGUGAUCAAUUUGCCCCCGGAUUACGGUACUUUUGACAGAUGAGAUUUACAGAUCGUUCGGUGAAGUAAAAAUCACCGAACAGUUCACCGAUAUCUGCUGCCGAGAAUUCGGUGAAAUUUCACAGAAAUCUGUGAUAAAUUCUAAGCGUGUAGGGAACCGUGGGGUGAACGAGCAUGGCCCCAGUUUUUGAAUAGUUAGGGGCUUCAAAACAUGUCUACCUCGGAUCAUUGAUAACGUCGGAUAACAACUGCAGCAGAGAAAUUCGAAGACGUAUCAUUGCCGGAAGUCGUGCUUACUAUGGACUCCACAAGACCUUGCGGUCUGGUAAACUUCACUUCCGUACUAAGUGUACCAUGUAUGUUCGGAUCAGCGAGAAUAGACUGUCCGGUGGUGAAUCCCUCGACAGCUUGAUACUGCGAAAGCUCAGACAGAUGGGGACCAUGGGGAAACAUUAAUCUUUGAGCGUAAUAACCAAAAUCGCUUCAGAGAAGUUUUUCAUCCCUCCCACAAUCCGAACAAUGUACAAGACGCUAAGACCGGUAGCCCUCUAUGUUGAAAGGUUUACAAUUCAAUAUCCUACACAAAUAUCAUACCUCUCUCAACGAACUUCCACACUUUUACCUACGACGACGUAUGCUUCUCAACCGACGAUUCUUCUACCUGAGGUGCGACACUACCUCUAUUCCAACACUCUACGGGCGACAAUGCUCGAAGAGGACC